rnacentral:rRNA from 1 species
GACGAACGCUGGCGGCGUGCUUAACACAUGCAAGUCGAACGGAAAGGCGCUGCUUUUGUGGGGUGCUCGAGUGGCGAACGGGUGAGUAACACGUGAGUAUCCUGCCCUUGACUUUGGGAUAACUUCAGGAAACUGGGGCUAAUACCGCAUAGGAUCUCCUGCUGCGUGGUGGUGGUUGGAAAGUUUCGGCGUUGGGGUAUCGACUCGCGGCUUAUCAGCUUGUUGGUGGGGUAGUUGCUUACCAAGGCUGUGACGGGUAGCCGGCCUGAGAGGGUGACCGGCCACAUUGGGACUGAGAGACGGCCCAGAGUCCUACGGGAGGCAGCAGUGGCGAAUGUUGCACGAUGGGAGGAAGCCUGAUGCAGCAACGCCGCGUGCGGGAUGACGGCCUUCGGGUUGUAAACCGCUUUCGCCUGUGACGAAGCGUGAGUGACGGUAAUGGGUAAAGAAGCACCGGCUAACUACGUG